rnacentral:misc_RNA from 1 species
AAAGUCGUAACAAGGUCUCCGUAGGUGAACCUGCGGAGGGAUCAUUAUAGAGAAAACACUUAUAAAAAGUGAUGGGGCCUUUAUGGCUCUGUUUCUUUUUCAAACAAACGAUCGCAACUAUUGAAUGUUUGGUUUGGGGGUUUGAUUGGGAGAGACAGCAAUGUCGCGCUCUUGAUCAAGAAAAAAAAAGUGUUUGCCUGAUAUUAUAUACAUGCCAUUGAUUUGGUUGGAGAAUAAUGUAAAUACAACUUUCAACAACGGAUCUCUUGGCUCUC